AACUGCCUAAUAUGAAAGCUGGAGAGCCUCCAAAAUCAUUAGAGAUGACCACACUUGGCAUGCAGCUCCUUAGGCUAAGAGUGACGUGCCCAUCAUGAAGGAAGCUUCUCUGAGGCUGGCGAGAGCAACUUGUCUGCUUUGAGAAAUGCAGAUCUAUCAGGACCCAGAGCCGGGCUCUGAGAAAGCUGUCAUUUCAUGUCUCUAAAACAGCCUCUGAUUUAAUGUACAAGAUGUCAAGAAGUAAAGGACAAUAAAAUAAAAACC